UACGAACGCGGCAUAAUGAAGUUGGUGGAAAGAUGGCAAGAAGUCAUCAAUAAAAAUGGUAUCCCAAUAUCCAUGGCAUCGCUAUCAGGAGAGACUGAAGGCGUCUUCUGCCUUAUCCUGCUACUACGACGUAACGUAGGAGAGUUUACUGUUUGUGGAGCAGGAAAUCGAAGACAAUCUAUAACAAAAAUGUAUAUAGAUUAAUGAAAAAUUAUACUCAUUUUACAUUUAAACUAUAUCAAGUUAAGUUACACUAAAUUAAACACUAGUUGCUUUUUCA